rnacentral:lncRNA from 1 species
ACUUGAUGCUGUGCUCAUCUAAGGCCCCAAACCUCCAUUUCCCCAUUGCUAAAAUGGGGAUCUUGCCAGGGGGCUGCGAGAAUCGAAGGGGACAGCGGCAGAGAGCUCCAGGCUUGCCAGGGCGCCCAACAGGUCUCUCUGCAGACAAGCAUAAUGAAAAGCUGGAGGCCUCGCCUGUGGGGUUCUGUCCUCUGGGCCACAUGCAGCUAUGCCAAGCAGGGAUGAUGUGGGAGAGAAGAAAGGGAAGAAAUAGACUAUGCAGCACUUAAACCCCCAGCUCGCUCCUGGCUUGAUGCAGUGGGCUGUUCUCAGUAUAGACAGGGACUCUGGGACACUUGAUGGGCUGCUGCUGCUGUCAAUUCCUGCAGGGAUUUCACGAGCUGGAAGAACACAAGCCUGCAGCAAAGAAUCCCAUGCGAGUGGGAUUCUCAGGCGACUCUGCCUCCCCAGGAUGAUUUGGGAGAACAGGUCCGGGCUGCUUCAAAUGGUGGCCAGUCAGAGACAUGAAGUGGCUCCUCUCUACAGGGACAUCAGAGCUGAGAUCAGGGCAGCCCCAGGAUUCGAGAGAAGGGCAUCCUGGCAGCUCAGGCCCUGUGGCAAUGACCGUCGCGCUUAACCCUCCUAUGCAAUCAACUCAAACCCAGAACUCAAUAGCAACAACACUAUUUGCUUUCUGGACAGCCUCUUAAGAGGCUCUAAAU